rnacentral:lncRNA from 1 species
GCAAAGAGCGUCAAUGAUUGCAUUGUAUGUCACAACAUUUGGCUCACAACCUCUAUCAGCCAUUCCCUUUAGUAGCCCAAUAGCCACAUUUGUUUUCCCAAAUUUACACAUUCCGUUUACUAUCACAUUGAAAGUACGAACAUCAGGUUGAUAACCACGUGCAACCAUAUAAUCGAAAAAUUCCACCGCUUUAUCGAUUUUACGCUCCAUACAAAGCCCAUUAAUUAAGGUAUUAAAUGUCACAGUGGUAGGCUCCAAUCCGAAUUUGAGCAUCUUACCAAAAACAGAGAAGCCAAAAUCCACAAGGUGCAAGUGGCAGAAACAAUUAAUUAAGAUGCUAAGAGAAUAAACAUCGUGUGAGAUUCCUAGCAAUUCAAUUGUUUUGGGCAUGGAAAAGACAGUGUGAUAUUGUUUCAUUUUCACAAGGGCAGAUAAGAAUCUACUAAAUUGAGCCCUAGAAGGAAGAGGAUGCUUAUGAAUUACAUGAUUGAAGGAAGCAAUGGCAUCAUGAAGGUGGGUAAAAGAAGCAGAUUUGAAGUUAUUUGUCAAGAAGCGUGCAUCUUCAAGUGUGGAAGUAGAAGAAUGGCAAUAAUUGGUAAAUAAGAAUAGGAAUGGAGAUUGAAUGGUACCAAUUGCCCCUUGUAGCUGAAGAUGGAAGCUCCUGCUCUUCCUCCUCGAAGGCAUCUUCAUCAUCAUGGAUCUCUUGUCAGUUGUUUUUAGGGAUGGAUCGGAGAUUGGGAAUGAGGAAAGGAAAUAGAGAAUCGGAAAAGGAAGGCUCUCUGCCAGCUGGUAAUGUGGUAAGGAUAAUACCUCGUGUACGUUAAAUCAUAUUAUAAUCAAACUAUUUUCUACACCUUCAUUUUGAGAUUUCUAAUAGAUACUCAAGUAUUAUAGGGGUUGUCCACAAUCAACCAUCGGGUGUUUAUUUAUUUUACAAAUUGAUAUCGAUAUUAUACCCAUCAAGAAUGUCAGGAUACUUUCACUAAAAAUUAUUCUUGAUAUUAAUUACACUAUAUUUUAUAUAUAUAAAGUAAAACCAAACUUUUUUCAUAUUGUUUAAAUGAAAGUAAAAUAAAGAUUUUUUAUUGUUUUUAUAGCAAAUCCUUUUAUUAUUGAGAAAAAACUUAAAUUUGAUUCAAAAUUCUAGACUAUCUCUUGCUAGCUGUAUUAGAGUUGUUUAUUUCAUUUUUUUAAUUUCAUAAAUGAUUUUGCUUUUUUAAAAAAAUUAUUAGUUUUUUCCUUUUAUAAAUUAAAUGUAUAAUUUUUUUUCUCAGUAGAAAAGUUAAAUUUUUAUUUUUUUUUAUUUUUUAUUUUGCAAUAUAUAGACAAACAAUCCUAUUUAAUGUAUAUGUUUAAUAAAGGAAUAGCUUAGUUACAUUGAAAAGUGAUAUCUUAAGCAUUAAUUAUACAGUACAAAUUACGUAAUGAUUUUGUGAAUCAUGCUGUAAGCGAAUAUAUAUAUAUAUAUAUGAGUGCAAUUGUGUAGAAAGUGAAUUAAGAAAUUAAUUUGCUUAUUGGUAAAUUGAUAUUUUUAAAUAGGCUUAUGAGCAUUUAAUUUUUAUAUUUUGUCAAAAUUGACCAUUUAAUUUUUUAAUUCUGUCAUUUGGUUAAAAUAAACUUUUAUAUUAUUUAUUUUUUAAUUUUAUAUAUAUAAUUUAAUUUUUUAAAUUAAAGCUAAAAAUAUAUUUACUAAUAUUUUAUUCGAUAAGAAUAUGAAAGAGUUUGAAUUUAUAAAAUUCAAAAUGUUUUAAUUGAGUGAUUUGAAAAUAGAGAUUGAAUAAUUAAUUUUGAUAAAAUAUAAGGAUUUAUUAAUAAUUUAAAUAUAUAAAAAAGAAUUAUUUAAAACUCUCUAAAGUUUCAUAUGAUAACCCCUUACAAGUUUCAGUAGUUCAUCAAACUUGUCAGUAGUGUAAAUAAGUUCGAUUGGCCAUUAAUUUUGGAGUCGAAAUCACUAUCCUGAAACUGUUUAAUCAGUUCUUGUAAUGCUGGAAACUUCAGAUUCUCUACUGAGAUUUAAUAUUUUUUGCUCUCGUCACCCACGUAAAUGGCUACAUAACCUUUUCGAAUUUAUGGGAUUUUAACUUUCAAAUCAGUCGAAUUGGAGAAUAAUUUAUAGGAAAAAGAUUAAGUAAUUGUAUAAUGUUAAUCUAAAAUUUUAGGAAGAAUUUAUUUUCUUGCUAAAAACUCUCUACAAUGAUAUUAUUAUCAAAAUUUUCUAAGUUAAAGGAAAGGUUUGAGUGUGAAGAACUCGAAAGGAAAUUAUAUAGGAGAGAAGAGUAAUUGAGAUUUAAUUUAUAUAUAUGGAUAAGGAGUGGAUUUUUAUGAUAAAAUUUAGAUUUUUAGCAUUAGCUAAAAUUUUUUAGCUGGAUUAAUUUAUUAAUUGGUUUAAAAAAAGUUGCAAAUUAAAACAGUGAAGAAGAAUCUUUAUUAAUUAUCGAAUUAUUUUCAUUUUAAUUUAUUAAUGGUAAUUGCUAAAUAUGGUAAUUAAGUGAUGCUUCAGUUUAUAAUUUUGAGAAUAAAUAAAAUUUCUUUGAUUUUAUGAUUUUAAGUUUCUUAAGAUGGUAGAAUUAGUUUAUAGGUCAGUAGAUUUUUUGUAAGGAGUUUGAAAUGGUUAUAAUAAAAAAAUUAAAUAUUUUAUUUUUUUUAUAUCAACACGAACAUUGUUAAAAAUAACAAAAUUAUUAAAAUUAUUGAAUAAAUUAAUAAAAAUUAAUAAGAUUAGCUAAAAUUAAUCAUGAGUGAAAAUAUUGAAUAACAUAAAAAUUUUGAUUUUUUCUUUUGUUAUUUAAUUUUUUUUAAAGAAAUGAAGAUAACUAUUUUUUAACAAAAGUGGGGCCAUUGAAACUAGAAUUAGCUGCUUCGAUUCAAUUUUUCUUUUCCUUUUUUGUAAAUGUUAUGUAGAUUCCCUUCAUUUUUUUUUUCUUACUAGAAUUUAUUUUCUUUUUGUAGUUUAUUAACUAUCAUACAUUACAAAAUAAUGUUUAAUGGAAAAUUUUAAUUAUAGUUUUAUUAAUAAUGAUGUUUAUAUUAAUUUUAUAUUAUUUAAUUUUAUAUAAUAAGAUAAAUAAUAGAAAAAUAAAAAUAAAAAUACCUUAUAUAUAUAUAUAUAUAUAUUUAUUUAUUGAAAGGUUAAUUUAUGUAAGAGUUUUUUUAUAAUAAAGUUAUAUAUUUAAUUUAAUUAAAAUUAUAUUUUUUUAAAAUAGAAUUUAUAUUUAAAUAAAAAAAAUUCUAACCGAUUAAAUUAAAUAUUUUAUUUUUAAUCAAUUAAAAUAAAGAGUUACUUAUAAUUAUUAAAUUUAACCACCUUUUAUAUUGAAAAUUUCAUUAUUUCCCUUUACUUUCCAUUUAUAUAAAUAUAUAUGUGUAUAUUAUUAAAAAUCAAAUAAUCACAGAUAAAAAAAAUAAGCGAUACACAAAUUUAAUGUGAUUAAUCAAUUUGGCAAGAUCAUGACGAUUAUUUUUUUUUUUAUUUUUCUAUGAAUUUUUGAAUAUAAUACACUAGAAAAAUAUUAUAUUUUUAUAUGUCUAAGAAAAUAUAAAAAAGAUAUAAUAGUUUUAAAAAAUUUACGAUCAUGGAGUAUAAUGUAUAUUUUAUAAUAUAUUAUUAGUUUCCAUAUCUCAACAUAUAUAUAUUUUAUAAAAUAAAAUUUAUAAUAAAUAGAAAAUAAUUUUAACCAAAUAAAUUAAAUAUUUUAGAGAAUAAUUUUUUUUUCAAUAAAUCAAAAUAAAUAGUUAAUUUUACUUUAUGUAUAUAUAUAAUAAGUUUUAGUUUAAAACUAAUAAAUUUAAAACUAAAUAAUUUUAAUUAAAUAAGUAUAUAUAAAAAUUAAUUCACAAACUUGUAAAAACCAAAUUUUUAAAUAUUAACGAUCCCGAUGUCUGCAAGUUUUAAAAGUGUAAUUAAACUAUAUAAAGUUAAAUUUUAAAAAACUAAGAUUGACUUGUGAAAGUAUAUGUAGAGUUUAAACUUAUUUCUCUUAUGAUAUUAAUCUCAACCUAUCACGAGAACACCUAUCUGAUUUGGAGUGAUACACUCUGCUAAUUUCUUCUGGUGCUUCACAUUUCUUGAUUAGUGAUCAUUAAUCUAAUUAAUAUUAAGUAAUCAUAUAGAUUUUACACACUAAUAUUUAAAAAUGUCUCUUUUCUUCUGAAUCCAAGGACCAUACUUACAGAUUCAAGCUCCGGAUUCAAGGCUCUUCUUCUCCAAUACUCUGCAUCGUCAACCAUCAAUAAAAAUAGCGCAGCCAGAAGCUUGACUGCAUUUGCAGUGAAUCUUCGCUCAGCUGAAGACUCUUGAGACUUUGUUCUUCUUCACUGUGUCAUUUUGAGACAAGAAUCAUUUUGUAAGCCAAUUACAAGAAAAGCUAUUUUUGAGGCAUAACUGUACUAAAUAAUCUGCAACUAAAUUUGCUUUUUUGUAAAUUUUAUCCCUGUACUUUAUUGAAAUAUAAGAUUUGGUCCUUAUAUUUUUAAAUUCUACUAUUAAGUCCCUAAAAAUUUUGACAGAAAAAUCAACAAUUCAGUCCCUACCAUCAAAACAAGAGUUAACUUUCUCUUAAAACUAUUAAAAAAUGACCAUAAUGCCUUCUAGUAUAUAUUUUUAUAUUAAAAUAUUAAUUUUUAAUGAUGAUUAGGAUGCUGACGUGAUAUUUCUGUUAAAUCUAACAUCAAAUUUACUGGUAGGUUAUAAAUAAAUUUAGAUAGUUAGUUUAGAGUAUAUUAGUUAAUUUUUAUAAUUUAGAGUAUAUCUGUUAAAAUGCGAAUAGUUCAAAGUUUUUUUUGCCACCAUCCCUUUUGCAAAUUGAUCUUGAAUACUUAUUAUAUAUAAUCUUAUUCAUAAAUAGUUAUAAUAUGUAAGGAUUAAUUUGUAAAAUUAUAGAAAUUAUUUGUCAAUAAUUAAUGUUGGAAAGAAUCCUCUGCCAUGAUUGUAAAUCAAUCAGUGAUCCUCUGUCAUGAUUGUAAAUCAAUCAGUGAUCAAAUCUUACCAUGUUUAGCAUAGCACAAUUCUAGGACAUAAUUGAGGGCACAAUCAAAGGUCUAAUUGUUCAUAUUAUGUACUAUAUAAACUCUGUAACUUACUACACAAGAGGUAAGAAAAUAAAAACAGUUUUCUUCCUAUAAUCUCAAGAUGGUAUCAGAGCGGGUUUGGGUCUAAAAAUAUAGUCAUCCUGCAAUAAUCCUUUACCAGAUACCUUUCCCAACUUCUUUCUCUCACCAAAACAACAAUGGCCGACCUUCCCAGCCCGGUUGACCAAUCCCAGGCAAUAAUUGAUCCAAUAGCAGACCUGUCACAAAAACUAUUCCAGUUAAUUCAGAAUAGCCAAGAUGGAAAUCAGAAAUCAGUGAACCAAUUCACUCUUGAUUCAGCACAGCCACCAUCCGACAUAAAAUUGAAUGAUUCCAAUUAUGUUGUAUGGGCAAAGAUGAUGGAGAUGUUUAUCACGGCGCUACAAGAAGCCGCGAAAGGAGGAGGCACAUGUGUCCCUUAUGAUCGAGAAGGAGGUAUUUUAGGGUUAGAAAGGAGGGCAAAUGACCUUUCUACCCCUGUCUCUUUAAAUAAAUCUAAAUGUGCCUCUGCUUGUUUUAAUUCUUGUAAAAUUAAAUCCCUGGUCUCGGAUGUUUUAGAUAAGUUUGGUUGUAAUCCCAAAACUGAAUCGUUAGCCCCUAAUUCUAUCGGUCAUGCUAACAAGGUACAAAAUACUAAUGGGUGGAUAUUUGAUUCAGGAGCCACAGAUACUAUGACUAAUGAUUCUUCAGAUUUUGUUGUGUCAGCCCCACCCUCAAAAUCCAAUAUUCUAAACGCUACCGGUGGCUCCUUCCCGGUCAUCAGUGGUGGUACCGUUUCUAUAACCCCCACUUUAAAUGUCUCCAACAGCCUCUAUAUACCUUCCUUAUCUUGCAAAUUACUCUCUGUCAGUCAGAUCACCAAACAGUUAAAUUGCAGAGUACUCAUGUAUCCUCAUUUUUGUGUUUUGCAGGAUAUUCAUACGGGCACGGUACUGGGCCGUGGUACUGAGAAAGAUGGACUAUACUAUGUGGAGGAGGUCUCAAAUACUGGGUCAGCUCAUUUAGCUCAAGGGUCCUCAACCCGACAGUUAUGGUUCUGGCACCGGCGCUACGGCCAUCCCUCAAGUGAUUAUCUUCGUACUUUGUUUCAUGAGUUUAAAUCCAUUGACAUUUCAGUUUGUACUUCAUGCGUGCUUGCUAAGAGUCAUAAGAGUACUUAUCAUAUAUCCACAAAUAAAUCUGAUACUCCCUUCUCAAUAAUACACUCUGAUGUAUGGGGGCCUGCCCCGGAAACUGUCUCCCUUGAUUAUAGAUACUUUGUGACUUUUAUUGGUGAUUGCACUCGUGUUACUUGGGUUUACCUGUUAAAACAAAAAAGUGAAGUGGCUGAGACAUUCUGUGAUUUUUUCCGCAUGAUUAAAACCCAAUUUUACAGGACCAUUCAAGUCCUCCGAUCUGACAAUGGGGGGGAAUUUGUCAAUAACCAUCUCCAAACCUUUUUCUGGGAUAAUGGGAUCCUUCACCAAACUACUUGUCCUUAUACACCACAGCAAAAUGGGGUUGCUGAAAGGAAAAAUCGACAUAGCCUUGAGACUGCCAGAGCCCUAUUGUUUGAAGCCCAAGUUCCUCCUAAGUUUUGGUCUGAAGCAGUUGCCACAUCCAUUUACCUCAUCAAUCGACUUCCGUCUCGCGUCCUUAAUUUCCAAUCUCCCUUGCAUACCUUGUCCUCUCAUCACACCAUCCCUUCCCAUCUCAACCUUCCACCUAAAAUCUUUGGCUGCACAGUUUAUGUUCACAUUCCUAAAACACACCGCACUAAACUUGAUCUAUGUGCUCUUAAGUGUGUUUUCUUUGGUUAUGGUGUCCAUAAAAAGGGCUAUCGGUGUUUUGACCCAAUCUCUAAACGGCUCUUCACUACCAUGGACUGCACUUUUCUGGAAGAGGAAUAUUUUUUUCCCUCGCCAACUAGCAGUGAGGGGGAGACAACGGCACAAUCACCACCACUGCCAAAUUGGCUUAGUCAAGAGGGGCCAUAACUUGAUCAUUCUUCUCUUCCUGAGUCUAUACCAGAACUGGGAGACACCAGUCAUUCUUCCCUUCCUGAGUCUACACCAGAACUGGGAGACACUAACCAUCUAGUACAGUCCUUGGAAUCAACAUCACAACCAGAACCUGGCACCGUAGAAUAUCCUGAGGAACACACAACUGAGGUAUGUGAAUCUGAACUUUCUCCUGUUCCUAAUAACCUCACCACUGAACCCAUUUCCCUUGAGGUUCUUGAAACAGGCCAAUAUGUUCUACCCCCUCGGAAUAAUAGAGGAAUUCCACCCAGGAGAUAUGAUCCAGAAUUCGAGGCAGCCAGGUCCAGAUACACUGGCAAACGUUACCAGAGGAGAAAGACUAUCACCUCAGUUGGUCAACUACAGAAAAACAUUUGCUCAGAAUGGAUACCAAAGGAUGCCACAGAGGCCCAAAAGGACAAAAGAUGGGUUGAGGCAAUGGAGAUCGAGAUGGAUGCCCUGGAGAAAAACAAGACCUGGGAAAAAUGCUGGCUACCCAAGGGAAAACAACCAGUGGGAUGCAAAUGGGUGUUUACCAUAAAGUAUAAGUCAGACGGAACGGUGGACAGAUAUAAAGCUAGACUUGUAGCAAAAGGAUAUACUCAGACUUAUGGAGUUGACUAUUCUGAAACAUUCUCUCCAGUAGCAAAAAUUGACACAAUACGGGUCCUAUUCUCUCUAGCUGCAAACCUAGACUGGCCACUUCACCAAUUUGAUGUGAAAAAUGCUUUCUUGCAUGGUGAUCUAGAAGAGGAAGUAUACAUGGAUGCUCCACCAGGGUUCAUGAGUGGAUAUAGAAGGGGAGAAGUGUGUUGAUUGAGGCGAGCCUUGUAUGGGUUGAAACAGUCACCCAGAGUAUGGUUUGGGAGAUUUACUCAAGUAAUGAAGAAAAAUGGAUAUCGGCAGAGUAACUCCGAUCACACUCUAUUCUUGAAGAGGCAAGGAAGGAAGAUCACGUGUUUGAUUAUAUACGUGGAUGACAUGAUUAUAACUGGAGACGAUGUGGACGAAACCAAACAACUGAGGGACAACUUAUUCCAAGAAUUUGAGAUGAAAGACCUAGGGAUUCUAAAAUAUUUUCUUGGAAUCAAAGUUCUCAGAUCAGACCAGGGAAUUUUGAUAUCACAGAGAAAGUACAUUCUUGAUCUGUUAAUUGAAACAGGAAUGAUAGAUUGCAAACCAGUCGAUACUCCGGUAAUGGUCAAUCAUGAGUUAAGUAAGGACUCAAAAGAAGGACCCACAGACAGGGGGAGGUACCAGAGACUGGUAGGAAAACUGAUUUAUUUAUCACACACCAGAUCAGACGUGGCAUAUGCUGUGAGUUUGGUAAGUUAGUUCAUGCAUGAUCCAAAACAAGACAAUAUGGAGGCAGCAUUGAGAAUCGUUUGAUAUCUGAAAGGAACAGCUGGGAUGGGCAUGUUGUUCAAAAAGAAUGGUCAUUUCAAUAUCAGUGGAUAUACGGACGCAAGUUGGGCAGGAGAUCUCUCCGACAGACGAUCUACUUCAGGAUACUUUACCUUUGUCGGAGGAAAUUUGGUAACGUGGAAAAGUAAGAAACAAAAGGUGGUGGCACUGUCAAGUGCUGAAGCAGAAUUCAGGGGAAUAGCAAAAGGACUGGUAGAACUCCUAUGGAUCAGAAAGUUGAUGUUUGAGCUUGGAUUCCCAUCAAAGGAUGCAGCUGAACUCCAUUGUGACAACAAGGCGGCAAUAAGCAUUUCUGAAAAUCCAGUUCAGCAUGAUCGAACAAAAUAUGUUGAAAUAGACUGACAUUUCAUCAAAGAAAAGUUGGACAGUGGUCUGAUAUCUUUACCGUUUGUUCGAUCAGAGGAUCAAUGGGCGGACAUCCUAACCAAAGCAGUAGCUGGACGAAUAUUCCAUGAGGUUUUGGGCAAGUUGGGUAUGCUAGAUCCACAUGAACCAACUUGAGGGAGAGUGUUGGAAAGAAUCAUCUGUCAUGAUUGUAAAUCAAUCAGUGAUCAAAUCUUACCAUGUUUAGCAUAGCACGAUUCUAGGACAUAAUUGAGGGCACAAUCAAAGGUCUAAUUGUUCAUAUUAUGUACUAUAUAAACUCUGUAACUUACUACACAAGAGGUAAGAAAAUAAAAACAGUUUUCUUCAUAUAAUCUCAAGAAUUAAAAUAUUCAGAAUUAAUUUGUAAAAUAGAAGGAGUUAUUUGUAAAUAAGUAUAUUAUUAGGAUCAACUUGUAAAAUUGUAGGUACUUAUUUAUAAAGAGUAAAAACUUUGUGAUUAAAUUUAUAAUAAUAUUAGGAUAAAUUAAAAAAUAUAAAAUUUAAAUUAGAAGACUAAACUAUAAAUCUAAUUAAACGUAUGAAAUUUUAUUGUUUUAGAUGAAAAUAUAUUUUAGAGGGUAUUAUGAUAUUUUUUAAUAGAUUCAAAAGUCUUAAAAGUUUAAAAGGAAUCGUAUUGUAAAGAUAAGAAUCAAUAUAACGUCUUAAUUUGUAUCGAUAAUGCAGUGAUUUUACCAUUUGCAAUUUUUAAUAAAAAUCUGUUGGUAAAUAAAUUAUCUAAUUCAUUGUUAAAAAGUUCGAUGGUAAAUUUUUAUUAAUAACUUUUAAGUCCGUUAAUAAUACUAAUGGAUUUAUUAAUAGAGUUUUGAUUAUUAUUAAUAACAGAUUUUAAAUCUGUUAAGAGAAAAAUAAUUUACUAAUAAACGUGAAAUCCGUUAAGAAAUUACCAACGUAUUGUAAUUCUUAGUCAAUUUAUUGAGUUUAAAUAAUUUUUUAUUAAUUUAAUAAGACUUAAAAUUAUAUUAUUAUUGUUACUAAGUUUUUAAUUUAUACCCAAUGUGUAUUAGAAAUACAUAGAAAGUGAAAAUAAGAGAAAAGUAAAUGGUAUAAAAUGAGAGAAAAUAAUAAAAGAGAAAGAAAAAAGAGAAAAAUAAAGAAAAUGAUAGAAAAAUAAAAAUUAUGAAAAAGAAAGAAGAAUGAGAGUAGGGUAAAAAGAUGAUUAGAGAAACAGAAAAAAAAGUGAACAAAUGAUUGGAGAAGAAAAUAAAUAAAGAGAAAAAAUAUAGAUGGAAAGAAAAUGAUAAAAGAAAUAAUACUAGAAAAACUAAUAUGAAUGAAAAUUAUAAAGAAAAUAAGAAAAUAAUGAGAAAAUGAAAGAAAAAUAUGGAAAAGAAAAUGAAGAAAAUGAAAGAAAAAUUAUGAAGAAUGAAUGAAAAUAAUAGAAGAUGAAAGAGAACGAUAGAAAGUAGGAUAAGAGAUGAAAAAAAAGAAAAAAUAGAAACAAUAAGAAAAAAAAAACUUAUAAGAUAAAAAAGUGAAAUAAAAAAAAAUAGAAAAUGAAAGAAAAUGAGAGAAGGGGAAAAUCUGGAAGAAAGUAAAAUGAUAAAAUGAAUGAAUGAUAAAAAUAUAAAAGUUGGUGUUAUAUUUAUAAAUGCGAAUUACUAAUGAAUUUGUAAUUUAUUAUUAAAUUAAAAAAAUAACUUUUUUCUCUCCAAAAAAUUAUCAAUAGAUUUCAAAUUUAUUAGUAAACCCGUUAAUAACCGAAAAAUAUAAAUCGUAAAAAAAAAAGUGAAAAUUUAUGCAGAUUUUAUUUUAAAUUUACCAAUUGAUAUAUUAGCGAAUAGCAUCCAUCCAUAAAUUCAACAAUUUUUUUUAUGUAUUAAUUUAAUGAUAAAAUUUAAUAAUAGAUUUUUAAAUUCGUUAGUAAUUUUUUAGGCAAAUUACUAAUAUAUUUAGAGUUCGUAAGUAAUUUAAACACUUUUUAAAAUUUACUUAGGAUGUAAACAAACUGAGCAUAACCUAGUUUUGAAGAGUUCAAGUUUGGUUUGUUAAAAAUUUUUCAAACUCGAGCCGAACUCAAGGUUUAAUCAUUUCGAACUCAAGUCGAGUAUUAAUAAUGUCAAGCUUACUCAUUUAGCAAAUAAACUUAGAUGAGUCGAGUUUUUAUCGAAUUUAAUCUUGAAUAAUUCACGAAUAGUUAAAUUUAUUUACAUAUAUAAUGAAUUUUAUUUUAUGAUCAAAUAUAAUUUAGUCACAUUUUUAUUAUCUUUAUUACUAUUUAAUUACACAUUUUUUCAGCUUAAUUUAUGUUUUUAUAGUGUUUUUGCGGAAAAUGGAGAAAAUGGAAAGUUAGAGAAAAAGUGCAGAAAAAACUGGGAAAUUGAUUGGGUCAGAGUGAUUUGGCCAAAUCACCCGCAGGAAACCAAAACAGAAGGCUAAAGGCAGAAACCUGGAAGUAAUUCACAGAAAUGAUUUGGGCAAGUGAUUUGCCCAAAUCACACUAACGCUAGAGAGACCAAUAACGCGGGAAAGAAGAGCAGAAAAUCAAAAUUCAAAAGUGGAGAAGUCCAAUCCUACUUCAAACACUACAAAGUCAAUUCCAAGAGCCACGAGAAGGUCUUUCACUCAAGAAAUUCCAUUCACAAUUAAAUACAAAAUCAAAAGAGAAAUCAAAGACUACAAAAGACCAAGUCAAAAUUAGGAUUUUCAAACCCUAAUUGGACUAGGAUUCUCCAUCUAUAAAAGGGACAGCAUCAAAAACAGCUAGGGAGAUCUCUCCACAGUCGGAAUUUCUGCAAAAACUCGGCAGAAGCACAACAGCCUCCUCUCUUUUCUUUCUUCUUUCUUUUUUGUGAUUUUGUCCACCAUGAGUGGCUAAACACCUUCUUUUCUAGUUGAAGUUGGGAAAUUUCAGAUUUGUGAUGAAUUGAGAGAUUUAAAACUCUAUUAUUAAACUCUUAUUUAUUUUCAAUAUUUAUGCAACUUGAUCUUUCUAUUAUUAUUGCUUUGCUUUUAGAAUCAAUUAAGGUCUAUUACUUUUAAUUGCAUGAGUAAUAUAUUGUUUGAAUGAUUUAGGUCCGUAAUUACUUAGAUUGUUUAAACUCAAGUAUAAUCGGUUGCAUAAUCUAAACUUGACCACGCGGUUGGCAAGGUUAGAAUUAGAUUUCUCUAAAUCUUAAGGCAGUUAACAGUUGAAAAGUAAAAAAAUCCCAAAAACGUUUAUUGGCAACUUGUUAACUAGUGUUUAAUUAGCAAACAUUUCCUAAUCAUACUAAAACUAAGGAGAAAUUUGGAUUGUGAGAAACGUCUUCCACAUCUUAAACUAAUUUAUUGAAAUAAAUAGGGGUAUCAAAAAGAUCAAUGAUCAAUUCUAAAUAAGUUGAAAUAGAUCCAUACUUCAAUUAGAAUCCUUCUCCCAUUGAUUUACUCAUUUAUUUAAUUACUGCUUUCUUUUACUCAAUUGUAAUUCUUCAAAACAAAAUGCCGCCUUUUAUUUACUUUUAUUAUUUAUUUGUCCAAGUCAUUAUUAGGAAAAUUCGUAUUGUCAAAUCCAUGUGGUUUGACCCUAUUGUCACUAUCUACAAAUUAUUUUAUUGAUUGAAAAUAGGUUUAUUUUUUACGGUUUCGACAACCGCUAUCACUUUAAAACUAAUAAAUUUAAAACUAAAUAAUUUUAGUUAAAUAAAUAUAUAUAUAUAAAUUAGCUCCUAAAUUUAUAAAGAUAAGAUCUUAAAUUUUAACCUCUAAAUAUAUGCAAGUUUUAAUAGUGUAAUUAAAGUAUAUAGAGCUGAAUUUUAAAAAAUUUAAAUUUGGUUUAUGAAAGUAUAUGUAGGGUUUAAAAUUAUUUUUAUUAUGAUAUUAAUCUCAGUCUGUUUAACGAGACUACUCACAAGUUGUUCGUGAGCCUGUUCAUGAACUCGAAAAUGAACUGACAUCUUGAGUCUUAACGAGCCGAAUAUUAUGAAAUUUAAACUUGACUCAUUUACUAAAUAAAUUUAAAAAUUAAAUUUGAGCUUGCAUCAUAUAGAAAUAAAGUCAAAAUCGAUCAAGUUUUUAUCGAGUUGAAUCUCGAAUAACUCAUAAAUGGUUUAAUUCAUUUACACCCCUAAAUUUAUUAACAGAUUCAAAUUAUCAAUAAAUUACCAAAGAAUUUAUUAACAGAUUUUAAAUCUGAUAGGAAAUUUCAACACCAAUUAUUUUAUAAAUUUAUAAAGUUUUACAGAAUUUUUAAAUCCGUUAAUAUUAAUUUCAAAUUCGUGGUGAAUAAUAAUUUAUAAAGUUUUAAAGAAUUUUUAAAUCCGUUAAUAUUAAUUUCAAAAUUGUGGUGAACUUUUACAUGAUUUGUUGGUGAAUUUUUACAUAAUUUUUUUAUAUUAAGAAUUAAGAUGAAUUUUUAAAUUUAUUAAUAAAUUCAUUAAAUUUACUAAUGAAUUAAAGCACUAAUAAAAUCUGUUGGUAAUACGAAAAUAUAAAAAUUUCUUGUAGUGAAAAUUGUCCGGACAAAAUAUCUAUAAGUGGAUUGUGUGGUGCUGUGCUCUUCAUUAUCGGUAGAUCUACGAGGAGCUGAGAUUAUUGCAUAUAUAUAUAUAUAAUGUAUUCGAUUAUUUUUAUAUUUAAUAUUAUUUUAUUAAUUUUAUAAAUUAAAUUAUUCAUAUAACUUAAACAUAAUUAUUUUCCUUUUAAUUAUUAAACAAUUAUUAACAAUAUUAAAAAAUAAUCAUAUAUUCUAAUUAAUUAUUAAAAAUUUCUAACAAUAUAUAAUUAAAUAAUUUAAUUAAUUAAUUUUAGUGUAUUCUACCUAAGUAGAUUAUAUAUGUGUGUGUAUUUUUUUAUAUCAACCAUAAAUGUAUUAAUUAUUUUGUAGUUUUUAAUUAUAUAAAUAAAUUACGUAUUAAUAAUAUAAUAUAUUUUUAUAUAUUAAUUAUAUCUAUUUUUUAAUGAAAAUUAUAUAAUUAAUAACUACAUAAAAUAAUAAAAUAUUCUUAUCCAGAGUUAUAUAUAAUAUAUAUUAUAUUACUACAGUUAUUAUUAUUAUUAUUAUUAUUUAAUAUUAAUUAUUUAUUAUUUUAAAAUAAACGUAAAAGGCUAUUACGAUUUUAUUUGUAAAAAUUAAAAUUUAAAAUGAAACAAAAUUAAAAUUAAAAUAAUAAAAAAAAUUGAAAUCAAAUUGAGACUACUGAAAUUACUUAGAACUAUACUAAAUUUCAAUUCUAAAUAUGAUUCUACAUAAAUUUAAUUUGGUUCUGUUUCUUAGCAAAAACUAUAGCUUUUCCUUUUAGCAUGUUGCCUUUUAUGAACUUGUUCAUAAAUAAAUUUGGACAAAAAGUCCUGUUAAAUAGCUGAAGCUAAACUAGCAUUUUAAUCGCUAGUAGGACCAAUUGCAGUUGCUUAUCUCAGUGGCUGCAUGUCUGAUUUUCAUCCUCUUCUUUUGCUUAUAAUUUCUAAACCAAUCAGCAAGUAUCUCUAACAUGCCCAAAAGCUUUCCAAAAGUCUCAAAAUCUAUAUGAAACUCUUUCCUCCACUCCCAACUUUCUAACUUCCUAACUUUUCUUUUAAGAAUGAGGAGGCUGAACAUAUAAUUAUACUAAAAACAAACUCAUAUCUUUAAUGAUGCUUUAAAACACCAAGUUUAUCCCAUAGUUUCUUCAAUCUUCUAAAGUAAACAACAACUGAUAUAGAUUCUUGACUGAAACUACUUAUUUCUUUCUUUAAUUGGUGUAUAAGUUGCCCAAAUCUUUCUUUAAAGCAAGUGUCAUAGUCACAGACAUACUCCAAGUCGAAUAAUUUACUAAAUUUAAAGGUGCAGAUAGAUAUGAGAAUCCUACUUGGAUUAUCUGAGUUUUAAAGAGUAGAAGGAUCUGAAUCAUUUUGCAAUUGGUUUCCUACCUCUCAAUAUGUACCCUGUCAGCCCCACCUUCUCUAACAAACCAUUUUCCAUGGAUGCAGUCACAAAAACUUCAAGAAUGAUGCAUCUUGCAAAAAGAAAAAUACCGUGUACAAACAAGAGCCCAAAGAAAAUUUUAUUGAGUAUAUUACAAGGUUUAGAAAGUGGUAAAAACAUAAGAUGUCUCAUUAUAUACUGCUGAAAGGAGAAAAGAAACAACCAAAACAUCUUUUCUUGCCUAACUUAACUAACAUCUCAAACAGUAAGAAACAAUGCGUUUCACAUUCAUAACACCACACAAAUGUAUCGCAAAAUGCACCAUAUAAAUAACUCAAAUGGUGGUCCAACACUAAAAUAUAUCCGUUAUAUACCAUAUUGACAAAGAGGAUGUUUGCUUUUCCCUCAAUUCCCAUAACAUUUUCUGUUGUCUAUAAUUUUAGUGACUUUUCAUCCAACCAACAGCUGUAGAAGUCUAGUGAUUUUCUUACCUUGUAUUCUGGGACUGUAUAUCCUGCGCCCUGCAUUUAUAGUGUAGUAUAAUUGUUAAAUCAAUUCUCAAUUAAAGCACACCGGUUUAUAAUCAUUAGUUUCAUUAUAAUUAAAAAUUAUAAUAACAAAGCAAAAAUGAAUUGCUUAUACCUUUAUGGUUAGAAAGGUGAAGUUGUAGUCAUAUCCUUGCAAGUACCUACAAGAGAAAUGAUAGCAUUUUGAAAGGUCAUUGAGCACAAAAAUAAAAAUAGAUAAAGAUUCUUAGGCAUUGUAGUAUGGAACUAAUUAGUUUUAGUUCUCAACUCAAUGUUAGGACUGAGCUCUCGAGUUAAGGCUGUAGUAGCAGCAAAAAAAAAAAAUUGUAAUGGAGAUGGUGGGUUUACCAGCAACGUGAUGAUUAGAAAUCCAUGACCUCCAUUCAUCAACAAUCUUAUAUCAAAGAGAUCUAGUCCAUGUCAGAAUUCAAGCGAAAGGCACACACAUAUCAUGGUUUUCACCACAGGUCAUUUGCAGUGUUAGAAAUUUUCGUUUUGUGGAAGAGAAUCACAGCUGAUUGAAAUUAAAAAUGAUAUUUGAAGAAGUUAGUUAAAUUACAUAUUCUAUUAUAUUUGAAAAAGGUAAUUACCAAGUUGCGCUCCAAGACACACUUGAAUGGUCAAGAUAUAACAACUUUAGUUUGCUAAUCCCUCAUUGCGCACCUUUAAAAGCCUCAGAAUGAGAUUAUUAUUCCGCGAUAAAUGUACUAGCAAUUCUGUGGUAGCAUCAUCAGCAGUGAACCCCCUUAUCAACCAUUUCGGUGAUUAGUUCUGAUGCUUUUGGUAAAUCCUCAUGCAUGAGAAACCCUUGAAUGAUGAUAUUAUAACAACAAUUAUUUGGUAAACAUCCUACCUUUUCCAUGUCUUUAAAUACGUUAUACGCUUCAUCAAUUAAUCCUUGUUGGCAGAGUCCUUUCAUAAUUGCAUAAUAUACAUAAACAUCAGGUUGUAAACCAAUUUCAAAAAGACUAGAAAAAAGUUCCUUGGCAUCAUUAAUCUUCCCAACUUUGCACAUACCAUUGAUCAGACUGCUAUAGAUCACAACAUUAGGUUUCAACUGACUUUUCUCCAUUGCUUUCAAUAGUGUGAGUGCCUCAUCGAGAUUCCCCUGUCUACACAAGCCAUCAAUCAUAAUUGAGAAGGUUACUAUAUUUGGUUGUUGACCAUGAGAGCACAUAUCCUUAAAGAGCUCUUUUGCAUUUUGGGGCCUCCCUGCUUGAAACAUACCCUCUAUAAGAGUAGAAUAAGUAACAACAUCAGGAACUAAACCUUUAUGAGACAUUUCAACAAAAAUAUCCUUUGCAUCAUCUAUCAUUUUGCACUUGCAAUAUCCAUUGAUCAAAAUGCUGUAGCUAAAAAUGUCAGCUAUUUCAUUGGUCACCGUCAGAUCAAAUACCUUUCUAGCCUUAUCAAUUUGCUUGCACAGACAAUAUCCAUCCAUCAAUGAAUUAUAAUUGACAACAUCAGGUUCCACACCUCUUUGAAUCAUUAUCUUGAUUAUAUUCUGUGCAUUUGAAACCAGUCCUUUCUUACAAAGAGUGUCGAUCAAUAUAUUGAAGGUAAAAACAUCAGGGGAUAUGUUCCUCCCCACCAUUUCUUUCAACAAGGCCAAAGCUUCCUUGAAUUGGUCUGAAAUGCAAAGACCAUCAAUUAAGGAAUUGUAGGUGACCACAUCAGGCUCUACACCUCUUUGAAUCAUUACAUUGAAUGUAUUUUGAGCCUCUGAAACCAUUCCAUCCUUACAAAGAGCAUUGAUCAAUACACUGAAGGUAUAAACAUUUGGUAAUAUGUUUUGCUCCACCAUUUCAUUCAUCAAGGCCAAAGCUUGGUUCUUUUGGCCUAAUUUGCAAACACCAUGAAUUAAACCAGUGUAAGUGAUGACAUCAGGUGAAAUGCCCUUAUUCCUCAUUUGAGAGAAGAGCUCUAAAGCCUCACCAACUAGCUCAUCCUUGCAAAGGGCGUGAAUGAUUGCAUUGUAUGUCACAACAUCUGGCUCACAACCUCUAUCAGCCAUUCCCUUUAGCAGCCCAAUAGCCACGUUUGUUUUCCCAAAUUUACACAUUCCGUUUACUAUCACAUUAUAAGUAUAAACAUUAGGUUGAUAACCACGUGCAACCAUAUCAUCGGAAAAUUUCACUGCUUUAUCCAUUUUACCCUUCAUACAAAGCCCAUUAAUUAAGGUAGUAAAUGUCACAGUGGUAGGCUCCAAUCCGAAUUUGAGCAUCUUACCAAAAACAGAGAAGCCAAAAUCCACAAGGUGUAAACGGCAGAAGCAAUUAAUUAAGAUGUUAAGAGAAUAAACAUUGUGAGAGAUUCCUAGCAAUUCAAUUGUUUUGGACAUGGAAAGGACAGUAUGAUAUUGUUUCAUUUUCACAAGGGCAGAUAAGAAUCUAUUAAAUGGAGCCCUAAAAGGCAGAGGAUGCAUAUGAAUUACAUGAUUGAAGGACGCAAUGGCACCAUCAAGGUGAGUAAAAGAAGCAGAUUUGAAAUUAUUUGUCAAGAAGUGUGCAUCUUCAAGUGUGGAAGUAGAAGAAUGGCAAAAAUUGGUAAAUAAGAAUAGGAAUGGAGAUUGAAUGUUACCAAUUGCCCCUUGUAGCUGAAGAUGGAAGCUCCUGCUCUUCCUCCUCGAAGGCAUCUUCAUCAUCAUCGAUCUCUUGUCAGUUGUUUUUAGGGAUGGAUCGGAGAUUGGGAAUGAGGAAAGGAAAUAGAGAAUUGGAAAAGGAAGGCUCUCUGCCUGCUGGUAAAGGAAAUGCAUUACUCUGUCGUUUAUAUGCACCACAUUUUGUAAUUUUUUAUUAAAUUUUCAUAUAAAAAUAUUAUUUAAUAGCAAAUUAAAUUUAUCAUUUGUAGAUACCUAAUUAAAGGCAGUUAUAUAAAUUGUUAAUUUUAUUUUUAAUAUUAAUAAAAUUUCAUGAAAAAUAUAUUUAAUUUUUAGCUUAUAUAAUUUUUUAUUAUUAAUUAUUUUAUUUUAUUAUAAUAAAAUUAAUUUUUUUACCAAACUUUACUCUUAUAGGAAUUGUUUAGCGCAUUUUUAUUUUGACAUCUAUUUAGAUAAUAUUACGAUUUAAUUAAUGUAAUAAAAAAAUUAAUAUAUAAAAUUAUUUCAAAAUAAUAAAAUUUUGAAAUGCUCAAACUCACUACAUAUAUUUCGCAUUUUCAAUUUUAUUUGUUAUUAAUAUUAACGUAAAAUUAUAAUAUAUAAUUUUUUUUCUAUAGAUUUAAUAUACAGUAUAUUGUAUUAUAAAUUAUAAGAAAUUAUUUUUAAAAUAUGAAUAAUACUUAUGUACAAAAUAUCAUAAAAGUUAAAAAAUUAAAUUAAAACAUUAAAAUUCAUUAAAAUUAUAAAUAUUUUAUUUAUAUGAUCACAUAAUAAAUUUUAAAUUAAAAAAUUAAAUUAAUGUGUGAAACUAAUCAUAAAAAUAUAAAAUUAUUAGCAUGAAUUAUUUAUUCGGAAUUUUUAGCCAAAAACUCAGAUAUCUAUCAUUAUAAAAUUAAUACUUUUAAUAAUUUUUUAAGUAGAAAGUUUUAAAUUUUAGUUAGUUAUUUGUUUUAGAUUAUAAUGAAUUUAAUUUCAAUUUAAAUUAAAAAGUAAUAUAGUUAAUUAAUUAAAUAUUUUUAAAUAGCAAUAAAAUACAAUAAAUUUAUAAUUAUUAAAUGUAGUUUGACAAUUUAAAUAAUAAUAGCUUCUUAAUUAUUUAUAUUUAAAUUAUCAUUUUUAUAUCUUAAAUUCUAAGAUUAUCUUUUAUAGACAUGUAUAAGAUAAACUAAAUUAUAUAUAUAUAUAAAGAAAACUAAAUUACUCUCCAAUCUUCAUGUUAUAAUAUUAUAUAAUUAAUUAUUUUUACUAGUUUAAAAAUAUGUUAUAAGAGAGACAACACACUUAAUAUAUCAUAACUUAUAUGAUUCUGAGCGAUACAUUCUACUAAAAAAUAAAAUUCAGAUAAUUAAAGGUGUUUAAUUUUAGAGCCAAAAGAUCGAAAAACUCUUGAGUUUCAUCAUUCAAAGUGUUAAAUGGGUGUUGAGACCUUAAGAUUUCAGCCUUAAAAUUAAUAUCAACAGGAGGUCUCAACCGCCUUUGAAAUCCAAGGAUUAUAUGACAGUCAACUCAAGACUGAAACCCAAGGGUAAUGACUAUUGAGUUGAAGGCUUCGGCCUACUAAGCCAAAAUCCAAAUAGACGAUAUUAUUCAAAUCACGUAAAAGUCGUAUGAUAAUUAAGACUUCAAAUCACAUAUGAGUAAAAAUGUUCUCGGAGUAAAAUUUUACAAUCUAGAACCAAUAUAGAUUUCAAAUAGUCCUACCAAGAGUCGACCAGCUUUAGAUCUAAAAGACACCUCAAGUAUGUUAAGUUAUCUUUUAAUCAAACCAUUCUCUAUACCUUUAUUUUGAGAUUUAUGAUAGAUCACUUACUAAUUUAAGUAUCAAAAAGAUAACCCACAAUAAUUCAUAUCUGAACGUUAUAUCUAUUGAGCCUGAGAAGAUCAAUAUACCAUCACUAAAAAUGGUUAUUGAUAUUAAUUGCACUACAUUUUACAUAUAUUUUAGGACAAAUCUAUACAUGGAUUUAUCUGAAUUCAUAUUUUACUAGGUAUAGAACCAAUCUUUAUUCAUAUUGUUUACAAAGAAGCUGAAACAUGGUAAACUAAAGACUUUUUUUAUUAUUUUUUUAAAAAAUUAAAAAAACUUAUUAAAUUAAGAAAAAUUAGAUGUAUAUUUGCACCUCUAAACUUUAUUAAAAAAAUUAUAUCCACAAAAAUUAAAUUAUUUUCUUAAGUUAAACUACUUUCAUAUAUUUUAUUUAUAAUUUUGACUCCACUUAUUUACGAAAAAUAAUUACUAUUUGAAUAAUAUUAAAAAAUAUUUUUUAAUAAAAUAACUUAUUUUCUCUUAUUUAAUUUUAAUUUAAAAAUAAAAUUUAUAAACUAAUUUAUAUAGCAGUCUUAAUAAGAUACUCAAAAUGCAGACAAUGAUUUUUUUUUUUUAAUUUAUUUUUCUUAAAAUAACUUAAUUUUUAUUUUAAAUAAAAAAUAUUUUCUAUUAACUAAAUUUUAAGAGUGUUUUGAAUGUUGGAAAAUAUGGACAAUUAUUACAAGAAAAAUAUUCAUUAAUGAGAGAAAAAAUUAUCAUUAAAUAUUAAAAAUUAAUCAUUGAAAAAUUACAAAAUUAUUUUUAAUUUUGUGAAAACAAAAAAUAAAAAUCAUGAAGUGAUACUAAAUGCACUUUAAAUUAGUCGUUAUAUAUAUAUAUGAGUGCAAGUGUGUAGAAAGUGAAUUAAGAAAUUAAAAUAUAAAAGAGUAAAUUAUUGUUUGAUUUUUGUACUAUUUUAAUUUUUUUUUAUUUCUAUGUCAUUCUGUUAAAAUAAAUCAUUAUAUUAUUUAUUUUUUUAAUUAUAUAUAUAUAAUUUAUUUUUUCUAAUUAAAGCUAAAAAUAUAUUUAUUAAUAUUUUAUUCGAUAAAAAUAUCAAAGAAUUUGAUUUUAUAAAAUUGAAUGAUUUGAAAAUAAAAAUUGAAUAGUUAAUUUUAAUAAAAUACAACGAUCUAUUAACAAUUUAAUCUUAUAAAAAAGAAUUAUUCAAAACUCUCUAAAGUUUCAUCAAACAGUGAGAAUCCCCUUGCAAGUUUCAUCAAACUUAUCAGUAGUGCAAGUAAGUACAAUUGGCCCAUCAAUUCUGGAGUCGAGAUCACCAUUCUGAUAUUGUUUAAUCAAUUCUUGUAAUGCCAGAAACUUCAGAUUCUCUACUUGAACUUGAUAUCUCUUGCUCUCGUUACCCACGUAUAUGGCUACAUAGCCUUUUCGAAUUUGUGGAGUUUUGACUUUUUGAUCAGUGGAACUGGAGAGCAAUUUAUAAGAAAAAAAUGACUAGAUUGCAUAACGUUGAUCUAAAAUUUUGUAAAUAAAAUCCAUUUUCCUGCUAGAAGCUCUCGACGAUGACAUUAUUGAUGAAAUUUUUUUAAGUUAAAAAAACUAUUUGAGAGUUAAAGAAUCCGAAAGAAAAUUGUAUUACAAAGAAUAAUAGUUGGGAUUCAAUUUAUAUAUAGAAUGAAUGAGUUUUCCUGAUGAAAUUUGGAUUUCCAGCAGUAAGUAAAGUUUUUUAGCUGGAUUAGUUUAUUAAUUGGUUUAAAAAAGAUACAAAUUAAGGCAGUGAAAAAGAAUCUUUAUUAAUUAUAUAAUUAUUUACAUUUUGAUUUAUUAAUGGUAAUUGCUAAAUAUGGUAAUUAAGUGAUGCUUAAGUUUAUAAUUUUGAGAAUAAUAAGAUAUGACGAUAAUAUUUAUUCAGUUUUAUGGUUUUUAGUUUCUUAAAAUGGCAGAAUUAGUUUAUAGGUCAGUAGAUUUUUUGUUAGGAGUUUGAAAUGGGAGAGAUUAUCACAAAUUAUAUGCAAUAUUCACACUUAAUUAAUUCUCUAAAUUUUUCAUACAGAAUGUUGAAAUGGUUAUCUUUGAUUAAAAAAAAGAAAUGGUUAUAAUAAAAAAUUAAAUAUUUUAUUUUUUUAUAUCAACACCAAUUUUGUUAAAAAUAACAAAAUUAUUAAAAUUAUUGAAUAAAUUAACUAAAAUUAAUAAUGAGUGAAAAUAUUGAAUUAACAGAAAGAUUUUGAUUUUUUUCUUUUUGUUAUUUAAUUUUUUUAAAGAAAUGAAGAUAACUAUUUUUUAACAAAAAGUGGGGCCAUUGAAACUAGAAUUAGCUGCUUUGAUUCAAUUUUUCUUUUCUUUUUUUGUAAAUUUUAUGUUGAUUCCCUUCAAUUUUUUUUUCUUACUAGAAUUUAUUUUCUUUUUGUAGUUUAUUAACUAUCAUACAUUACAAAAUAAUAUUUAAUGGAAAAUUUUAAUUAUAGUUUUAUUAAUAAUGAUGUUUAUAUUAAUUUUAUAUUAUUUAAUUUUAUAUAAUAAGAUAAAUAAUAAAAAGUAAAAAUACCUUUUAUAUAUAUAUAUAUAUAAGAGUUUAAUUUAUGUAAGAGUUUUCUUUAUAAUAAAGUUAUAUAUUUAAUUUAAUUAANNNNNNNNNNNNNNNNNNNNNNNAUAUAUAUUUUGAGAGUUUAAUUUAGGUAAGAGUUUGUAAAAUUAUAAAUAACAAACAGAUUUAUAAAUCAUUUGCAAAUAAAAGUGUAAUCGUUUAUAAAAUUAAAAAGAUACAUAGAUACAUGUAUGAAUUUGUUCAUACAUACAAAUGUGUGAACCAUUUGUAAACUUAAAUGCUCAUAAACAAAUUCACAAAUGAAAAUUUGUUAUGGAGUUAUAAUCCAUUUUUAAAAUUAGAUGUACACAUAUGGAUUUGUAGGGGUGAGCAUUCGGUCGGUUCGGUUCAAAAUCGAAUCGAACUGAAAAAACCGAAAACCUAAAUUUUAGUAUUUAUGAAAAUCGAACCGAACCGAUUUUGGUCAGAAACCGAAUCGAACCGAACCGGUCUGAUUCGGUUCGAUUCGGUUCGUUUGAUCAGUUUCGAUUUUUAAUGAUUUUUUUUAUUUUUUACACUUUAUUUUUAAUAUUUUAAAAUUUAAUUAAAAUAUUUUAAUUUUAAUAUGAUUUAAUUUCUCUACAUUAUUGAAAAAACAUAUUAUUAUCACUAAUCGGUUCGGUUCGAUUUUUUCAGUUUUUUUCUGAUUAAAACCGAACCGAACCGAAAUAACUGAAAUUUUUGAAAUUAAAAACCGAACCGAACCGAAAUGUAUAAAAAAUCAACUAAAUUUUAAAUCGAUUCGGUUCGGUCGGUUUUUUUGAGUUUGAACCGAAUACUGCUCACCCCUACGGAUUUGUAAAUAGAAGUGUAACUAUUUGUAAAAUUAAAAAGACAAACGGAUUUACAAAUAAAUAUGCAAUUGAUUUGUAAAAUUAAGAAAAAUUAACUAUUUAAUCAUUAUGAUAUGAUAAAAUUUAUCCGUUGUUCCCUUUAUUUUAAAAAAUAUAUUAAAAUAUUUUUAAAAUUUUAAAAAAUUUACUAAUUAAUCACUCCGUUACUAUAGGGACUAAGUAGUAAUCUUUUCUAAAAUUAAAGGACUACAAACAUAUUUACAAAUAAAUAUGAAAAUAAAAAUUAAAUGGAUAUAGAAUAAUUUGUAAAUGGACUUAUAAUUAGCUUGUGAAAUUAAUACAAAUAAAUUUAUAAACGAAUAUAUAUAAGUCAUUUAUAAAUUUAAUUUGAUAUAAAUAAAUUUAUGAUAUAGAAUUAUAAAAAAGAAUAUUUAUAUUUUUGCUAUUUCCAUUUGUAAAGCUAUAACAUUCAUAAAUGAAUUUAUAUCGGUUUAUAAAUUCCAUUUAUAUUUUAAAAAAUUCUUAUAGUAAAGGAUGAAAGAGUGAACAAUCAUAAUAAAUAGAAAAUCUUUCCAAAACAAUUAAACAAACUAUAUCAGAAGAAUUGAAGAGUUGGUUAAGAUUAUGCAGUCUAUCAGUUGUUCUUAAUUUUUAUCUUUUUCAAAAAUAUAAAAAUAAGAGUUGAUCAAUAAAAUAUAACAUGUUUCGGUUUGGAGAGUUGAUUGAGACUAUUUAGUUGUAUUCAAUUUUUAUCUUUUUCAAAUAUAUAUAUAUAUAUAAAUUUCCGAAAAGCAAAGAAACCAAAAUCCAGAAGGUGUAAAUGGAAAAAGAAACAUUUAAGAAUCUAUUAAAUAUCAAGAAUUCAGUUGUUUUAAACAAGGAAAUGACAAAGUACGUAAUAUUGUUGCAUGGCAUUUUCACAAGGGCAAAUAAGAAUCUAUUAAAUUGAGCCUACAAGGCAAAGGAUGCAUAUGAGUUACUGUUAGUAGACAGACCUUGCUAAUUUAUAAACGCUCAAUCAUAGAAAGAAGAAAGGGAUGCAGGUUACCAAGAUCAAUCACAUUAGAGAUUUUGACAAGUAUAAUUUUGACAAUUCAAUUAUUUCCCAUUCCCAUUUGUUCUUCACCCAACAGCCCAUAUUUAACAUCAACACAAAUAGGUUAGCUGCUAAAUUUAAUAGUCUGCUAAAGGAGAAUUUGAGAGCAAUAUUACCAACCGAUCGUCUCUCAUUCCAAAAUUUCAUUUUCAUCUCAUUCCCCACAGCAAAUCUGAUAUGAAUUAAAGGAGAGAAGGAAGAGUUCAUCGAAAGUAGCAUAGCCUCGAAUGUCUUUCUGAAGGGAAGAAAUGCAAUUUCCUGGAGCAAGAGAGAUACCCUUCUCCAAAUUGAAAGAAUAUUUGGAUAGAAGUUGAACUCAGAGUGAAUCCCUAUGAUUUUCAAAUCUCCAAAGCCAUUUGAACAAAAGAGCUUGAAUUUGAAGAGAGAUCUCUUUCAUGCCUAAGCCUCCUUUCUUUUUAGGCAACAAAAGAGUAUUCCAUUUAAUCAGAUGAAGUUUCUUUGUACUGACAUUUUUCCUGCCACCUUUGAUUAUACCUGUGUUAUAUAUAGAGCUAACCUGCCUUUUAUGAACUUGUUCAUAAAUACAUUUGGACAAAAAGUCCUGUUAAAUAGCUGAAGCUAAACUAGCAUUCCAAUCGCUAGUAGGACCAAUUGCAGUUGCUUGUCUCAGUGGCUGCAUAUGUCUGAUUUUCAUCCUCUUCUUUUGCUUUUCCCUCAAUUCCCAUAACAUUUUCUGUUGUGUAUAAUUUUAGUGACAUUUCAUCCAACCAACAGCUGUAGAAGUCUGGUGAUUCUCUUACCUUGUAUUAUGGGACUGUAUAUCCUGCAACCUGCAUUUAUAGUGUAGUCUAAUUGUUAAAUCAAUUCUCAAUUAAAGCACACUGGUUUAUAAUCAUUAUUUUCAUUAUUAUUAAAAAUUAUAAUAAUUAAGCAAAAAAGAAUUGCUUAUACCUUUAUGGUUAGAAAGGAGAAGUUGUAGUCAUAUCCUUGCAAGUACCUACAAGAGAAAUGAUAGCAUUUUAAAAGGUCAUUGAGCACAAAAAUAAAAACAAAGAUUCUUAAUCAUUGUAGUACGGAACCAAUUAGUUUUAGUUCUCAACUCAAUUUUAGGACUGAGCUCUCGAGUUAAGGCUGUAGUAGCAGCCAAAAAAAAAAUUGUAAUGGAGAUGUUGGGUUUACCAGCAACUUGAUGUAGAAAUCCAUGACCUCCAUUCAUCAACAAUCUUAUAUCAAAGAGAUCUAGUCCAUGUUUGAAUUCAAGCGAAAGGCACACACAUAUCAUGAUUUCCACCAUAGGUAAUUUGCGGUUUUAAAAAUUUUUGUUUUGUGGAAGAGAAUCACAGCUGAUUGAAAUUAAAAAUGAUAUUUGAAGAAAUUAGUUAAAUUACAUAUCUAUUAUAUUUGAAAAAGGUAAUUACCAAGUUGCGCUCCAAGAUACACUUGAAUGGUCAAGAUAUAACAACUUUAGUUUGCUGAUCCCUCAUUGCGCACCUUUAAAAGCCUCAGAAUGAGAUCAUUAUUCCGCGAUAAAUGUACUACCAGUUCUGUGGUAGCAGCAUCAGCAGAGAACCCCUUAUCAACCAUUUCAUUGAUUAGUUCUGAUGCUUUUGGUAAAUCCCCAUGCUUGAGAAACCCUUGAAUGAUGAUGUUAUAACAAGAAUUAUUUGGUAAACAUCCUACCUUUUCCAUGUCUUUAAAUACGUUAUACGCUUCAUCCAUUAAUCCUUGUUGGCAGAGUCCCUUCAUUAUUGCAUUAUAUACAUAAACAUCAGGUUGUAAACCAAUUUCAAAAAGACUAGAAAAAAGUUCCUUGGCAUCAUUAAUCUUCCCAACUUUGCACAUACCAUUGAUCAGACUGCUAUAGAUCACAAAAUUAGGCUUCAACUGACUUUUCUCCAUUGCUUUCAAUAGGGUGAGUGCCUCAUCGAGAUUCCCCUGUCUACACAAGCCAUCAAUCAUAAUUGAGAAGGUUACUAUAUUUGGCUGUUGACCAUGAGAGCACAUAUCCUUAAAGAGCUCUUUUGCAGUUUGGGGCCUCCCUGCUUGAAACAUAGCCUUUAUAAGAGUAUGAUAAGUAAUAGCAUUAGGAACUAAACCUUUAUGAGACAUUUCAUCAAAAAUCUGCUUUGCAUCAUCUAUCAUUUUGCACUUACAAUAUCCAUUGAUCAAAAUGUUGUAGCUAAAAAUGUCAGCUAUUUCAUUGGUCACCAUCAGAUCAAAUACCUUUCUAGCCUUAUCAAUUUGCCUGCACAGACAAUAUCCAUCCAUCAAUGAAUUAUAAGUGACAACACUAGGUUCCACACCUCUUUGAAUCAUUAUUUUGAUUAUAUUCUGUGCAUUUGAAACCAGUCCUUUCUUACAAAGAGUGUCAAUCAAUAUACUGAAGGUAAAAACAUUAGGGGAUAUGUUCCUCCCCACCAUUUCUUUCAACAAGGCCAAAGCUUCCUUGAAUUGGUCUGAAAUGCAAAGACCAUCAAUUAAGGAAUUGUAGGUGACCACAUCAGGCUCUACACCUCUUUGAAUCAUUACAUUGAAUGUAUUUUGAGCCUCUGAAACCAUUCCAUCCUUACAAAGAGCAUCAAUCAAUACAUUGAAGGUAUAAACAUCUGGUAAUAUGUUCUGCUCCACCAUUUCAUUCAUCAAGGCCAAAGCUUGGUUCUUUUGGCCUAAUUUGCAAACACCAUGAAUUAAACUAGUGUAAGUGAUGACAUCAGGUGAAAUGCCCUUAUUACUCAUUUGAGAGAAGAGCUCUAAAGCCUCACCAACUAGCACAUCCUUGCAAAGUGCGUCAAUGAUAGAAUUGUAUGUCACAACAUUUGGCUCACAACCUCUAUCAGCCAUUCCCUUUAGUAGCCCAAUAGCCACGUUUGUUUUCCCAAAUUUACACAAUCCGUUUACUAUCACAUUGAAAGUACGAACAUUAGGUUGAUAACCACGUGCAACCAUAUCAUCGAAAAAUUCCACUGCUUUAUCGAUUUUACUCUCCAUACAAAGCCCAUUAAUUAAGGUAGUAAAUGUCACAGUGGUAGGCUCCAAUCCGAAUUUGAGCAUCUUACCAAAAACCGAGAAGCCAAAAUCCACGAGGUGCAAGUGGCAGAAGCAAUUAAUUAAGAUGCUAAGAGAAUAAACAUCGUGUGAGAUUCCUAGCAAUUCAAUUGUUUUGGACAUGGAAAAGACAGUGUUAUAUUGUUUCAUUUUCACAAGGGCAGAUAAGAAUCUACUAAAUUGAGCCCUAGAAGGAAGAGGAUGCUUAUGAAUUACAUGAUUGAAGGAAGCAAUGGCAUCAUCAAGGUGGGUAAAAGAAGCAGAUUUGAAGUUAUUUGUCAAGAAGCGUGC